rnacentral:rRNA from 1 species
AUUGAACGCUGGCGGCAUGCCUUACACAUGCAAGUCGAACGGCAGCACGGGAGCAAUCCUGGUGGCGAGUGGCGAACGGGUGAGUAAUAUAUCGGAACGUGCCCAGUCGUGGGGAUAACGUAGCGAAAGCUACGCUAAUACCGCAUACGAUCUAUGGAUGAAAGCGGGGGAUCGCAAGACCUCGCGCGAUUGGAGCGGCCGAUAUCAGAUUAGGUAGUUGGUGAGGUAAAGGCUCACCAAGCCGACGAUCUGUAGCUGGUCUGAGAGGACGACCAGCCACAAUGGGACUGAGACACGGCCCAGACUCCUACGGGAGGCAGCA